AGAUUGAACGCUGGCGGCAUGCCUAACACAUGCAAGUCGAGCGGAAAGGCCCUUCGGGGUACUCGAGCGGCGAACGGGUGAGUAACACGUGAGCAACCUGCCCUUAGCUCCGGGAUAGCUCCGGGAAACCGGAAUUAAUACCGGAUAUGACUUAGGCCGACAUCGGCUGUGGUGGAAAGUUUUUCGGCUGGGGAUGGACUCGCGGCCUAUCAGCUUGUUGGUGGGGUAAUGGCCUACCAAGGCGACGACGGGUA
rnacentral:rRNA from 1 species